ACCUGAAAAAGAAGACAGCAAUCACCACUUUCUGGUGUUUUAUGUUGGUUCGUUUUACUUCACCUUGUCAUAAAAGCCUUUAACAUGGAGUCAACGGUAAUCUACACCUAACCACCUUUAAAUGACAGCUACGGAUAAAUUUUCCAAUACAUUGAUCAAGCUUUUAACAGAUAUAAAAAUGUUCCACCCACCAAUCUAAAAUAAAUGAAUAAACAAACAAAAAGAAUCUGUGUUUAUAGAAACACAGAACAACCUGAUGGCUGGUGGAGGGUGUGGGGUGAAGGGAUGGGCAAUAUGGGUGAAAGGGGGUGGAAGGUACACACUUUCGGAUGGAACAGAAGUCAUGAGAAUAAAAGGCACAGCAUAGGGAACAGAGCCAGUGAUGUUGUAGUAAUGUUGUGUGAUGACAGAUGGUAGCUCGCUUGUGGUGAGCACAGCCUAACAAAGAGAUUUCCAGUCGUGUUGUACAUCUGAAACUAAUGUAUCAUUGUGUAUCAGCUACACUCAAAAAUUCCCUCCCCGGCCCACCCAAAAUAAGAAGUAAAGCAGAGAAAGCACACAGUAACUUCUUUAACAUCCCCAAAGAAAUACACAGUAUCAGUUGUCUAGUUUACAUGGAGACAAACUCUUCAAUUUGCCAUUCUCCCCACCGCUCCCUGUUUCUAACACUGGCCUAUCUUAAUUUACAUCAUCUCGCUACAUGAGAGCAAGAAGUGAAGAUCUGUUUCUAAACCUGUAUAAAGGCAUUUCCCCCAAAGGAUAAAUAUGUGGAGUAGCCUAGGAAAAUCAAACUACCCUCAAGUGAACUUUACAAGGAGACAGAGAAACAUGAAGAUCUCAGUCAGGAGUCUGUGGUGACAAUAACAAUCCAAAGGUGAGAUUAUUAAAAACUGAGGAGAUGAAGUUCCCUUGACUAGAACACACUCCAAAUUUUAAGACAGAAGCACAGACGGAAAACCUUUGGUUUCAUAAUGAGGAAAAUCAAAUACGGAUGUCCCUACAUAGGAGCCAGGCACAGUUCUUGAUACAGAAAAUAGUGCAGAGAAUAAAAUACAUAAGCAUUCCUGCCUUCAUGAAGUUUACAUUCCAGUGGAGAGGAGACAGACAAUAAACCAAGUAAGUAAAACAUAAAUUAUGGCAUAUGGUGAUAAGAACUUUCUUUUAAGUUUCUUUUUCAGUCAGUGCAGAGCCCGAUGCAAGGCUUGAUCCCAUGAACCAUGAGAUCAUAACCUGAACUGAAAUCAAGAGCUGGACACCCAACUGACUGAGCCACCCAGGCGCCCCGAUAAACUGAAUUUUCUAGAUUAAUUAGAUUUUUCUCUCCUAAUUAUGUUUACCUGAGUGCCACUGAUUAAGCAAUUGUAACAAAUACUAUAUGACACCCUCCAAGUAUCUAAGCUUUUUUAUUUCUAAAUGACAUUCAGUAAGCAAAUUAUCGGUCAAAACUUUAAGAAAACUUUCUAUACCUGUCAAUGGCAUAUAAGGAUAUUAGACAGUUUCCUUCAGAAAGUAAACAAGUAUAAAACUGGAAAACGUGAUUAAGAACAAACAUUUCAGCCCGUCAGAAAAUGCCCAAAGGUGGAAAAGAACUCGAGACAUGUUUAUUCAUGAAAAUCCGAGAAGUGCAGCAAGUUCGUGCCCUUCGUACUUAGAGGUGUUCCUGUUCCCCUGACCUGGGAGUGAGGGAACAUCUGCAGAUUUACUACCCAAGACCCGGCGGACGUGGUUUGGAGCAGAUAAUGAACACCCACAUCUUAACCAAUUGGGGUGGCUCUCUCAGUUCAGGGAGGGCAGGAAAGCAGCUAGAAAUGUAACAGGGAGAUUGUGCAACAAAAGAAUCACGGGAGGGCUGAGGUCAUCAACUUGCCCGUAUUCCGAACUGACCACUAAAGUAAGGAUAGGCAGGAAAGAGCCCAGAGAGGCUUUCAUGUUGUGCCUCUGAAAGCAUUCCUCCAACCAGUAUGUGGCCCUAGCAUCAAGGGUAGGAGCAUCAGACUAUGACUUGUCUAGGCACAAACUUGGCCAAAUAAUUGCGUGAUGACUAAACUCUGCAGGCACAGGAGAAACUCCUGGGAAGGCAGGCUUAAGGAAAAAAAAAAAAAGGCUGAGGAAAGAUACCAGUAACUGCAAAUGAAUAGGGAAACAUACUUGACAGUCUGAGUCCAGGCAAAUUACUAAAACACUGGGCCAACAAAAUGCAGAAGAAUAAAUUAGAAUCCAGAUAAACUACACUGUAUUUUUCCACAAUAGCCACUUUUACUCUAAAUAAAACAAAAUCACUAGAUGUGCCAAGAAACUUAAGGGUAUUUGUUUUCAUUCACAGUGAACAAAGCAGCCUGAGAAUAGACCUGAUAGAAGAGUUAGUAAAGACUUCAAAGCAGCAUUAUAAAUACGCUCACAGAAUUAAAAUAUGUUCAAAGAAAGAAAAUUAUGAUAAUUAUGAUUCAACAAACAGGAUAUCCCAACAGAAGAAUGGAAACUAUUAAAAAAAAAUUAGAAACUCUGGGAUGAAGUGAACAAUACACUUCGUAACUUAAGAUCAGAUCUGAGUGGAAGAAAUUAGUGAAUCUGAAGUUACAUCAAUAGAAAAUACGCAAUCCAAAAAGAAAGGAGUUGAAAUUGAAAAUGCAGUGGCAGUGCCACGGGUCUGUCUGUAAUCAAUUCAAGCAUUCAAUCAUACAUGUGAUUGGAGUCCUGAAGCAAAGGAAACAAAAGUAGCAAAAACAAAAACAAAAAACAAAAAAAAAAAAACCCUGAGAAAAUAACGGUUGAAAACUUUCCAAUCUGGUAAUAACAAAACAAAACAUUAAUUUAGGGAUCCAUUGAAUCCGAAGUAGAAUAAAUACAAUAAGAACGACAUUUAGAGCCAACAUAGCUAAAUGAAUGAAACCCAGUAACAAAGAGAAAAUCUAGAAAGUAGGAAAAUGACACAUCACAUACAGGGUAAUGACAGCGUGACUUUCUCACCAGAAACAAGGGAGCCAGAAGACAAGAGAGUGACAAAGUACCAAAGAAAAAAAAUCAACCAAGUAUUUUCUUUGAUAAUAGCUUUAAGUUAGAAAUCAAUAACAGGGAAUAUACCCAAAUGUGUGAGAAUUCGAUACUUUUAAAUAGCCCAUGAGUCAAAAAGGAAAUCAAGAGAAAUUAGAAAAUACCGUACUUUGAACUGAAUGAUAAUGAAAACACAACGUAUCAGAAUUUGUGAAAAGUAAUUACAUCAGUGCUUAAAGAUUUAUAUUUUGAAAUGCUUAUAGUAGAAAAUAAAAAAAUUUUAAAUCAGUGAUAAAAGUUUUUACCUUAAGGGAAUGAGAAAAAAUGAGUUCAAUCCAAAGUAAGGUAAAAGUAGAAAAUAAUCCAGAUGAGUAUAUAUUAUAUUGUCUAUCAGAAUAUGAUAUCAUUAUAUAUUAUAAUACACAUAUAUUACAUCAUAUUAAUGUUAUAUAUACAUAACAUUACAUAUACAUUAUAAAUAUAUAUCAGAAUAUAAAUAAAAAACUGGACAGACCAUGGAGUUGGCGUUUUGAAAAUAUCAGCAAAACUGGUAAAGCCCUAACUAGACUGAUCAAGGAAAAAAAGAGUAAAUUAUCCAUAUGAGGAAGGGAAGGAACACCACCACACGUCACACAAAAGUAACAAAUAAAUAAAGGAAUAUUGUGAAAAACUUCAUGCCAACAAGUUUGACAGCUAGAACAAAUGGACAAGUCCCUUGAAAGACACAAAUCACAAACUGGAAGAAGUAGUAGAAAAUAUUUGCUUCCUAAAUUGAAUUACUCAUCAGAGCCUUCCUACAAAGUCCAGGUCCAGGUGGCAUCAUCGACAGUGAAGUCUGUCAAACAUUUUAGGAAGAAAUCAUAGCAAACACUACAGAGAGUAUAGAAAACAGGACAAAGAAACACCUCCCAAAUCAGUUUAUCAGGUUAGAAUGAUCUGAUAACAAAGCCACUCAAAAACUUGAGAUAAAACCACAGACAGAUGUCUUUCAUGAAUACAGACUAGAAAUUCUUCAUGAAAUUUUAGUAAAAUAUACAGAAAAACUCAGUCAUAACAGUUUGAAGCCAUGAAGAAAGUGAGAGACAGACUCUCCUCUCCUUCUCCACCACUCCCUCUGCAAAGUACACUUUCAGCCAGGUCCAUACCAAAUUGUUUCCAUCAUUCAGGAUGUACCUCAGUCAACAGACUUCAGUUUUGUGUUCAUUUGUUUACUGUUCCUCCAAUGGGGACCCUUAAAGGGAUGACGGGACUAAGGGGAAAAACUAAACCUGGAUAAUUGAGAGUUGGUGUCGCGGUGGGCUGACAAGUGACCCCUGCAGGAGCUGGACAGGGAGGAGAGUGAGGUCAAGUUGGACCUUCCCCUGCUCCUCCCUGCCACAUCCGCUCCAGGUGGCUGUGUCUGUCUCCUGCCGCUCACUGCUCCUCUAGAGGCAACCGGCUCUGAAGGACUCUUCCGUCCAGGCACAGUGACUCCUCCCCUCCCCCAAUCCCUUUGGACCUAGGGGUAGAACAGCUCUUCCCACGGUUACCAGCACGUAUACGAUCGCUUUGUUUUCAUCUCAGGCUGCCGGCAGCAAGCAUCUUUCAGAGCCAAGCACGAUGUCCCAUUUGCUGAGAUUUACGGGAGAAAGCAGAUGUGAAACUUCCCCUGGAUGCAGUCCUAUGAAGAUGCGAGGUCUCUCAACCCCUAACUUGCUGCCAAAAGGGGAUCUAGCCUGGGGAUAAAGCCUGCACCAGACGGAUCAAAAGGGAGACAACAUUGGAACCCUACAACAAACCACGAGUAAAGCCAGAUUUAGGACCAACCACCCCUAGGUCACUGCAAGCCAACUGCUGGAAUGUCCAUCCUUUGUGGCAAAAUUAGCCCAUGUUUUCUCUCCUCUUCAAUGAUGUCCUUUCAUUGCUUCCUCCAGCAUGAGUAGGAGGUUCAGGUGGAGAGACCGCGAACACUCCUUAAAAUAUUGUUAGAAUGCAAAAUGAAAAUGGUUCCAUAAAGUCUAAAUAGUGAAAAGAAAAAUAAUUCUGGCGAACUGCUGAUAAAUUUGCUUGCUUCCCUUGAAGUUGGCUUUGCCAACAGAAUUUUCAACUAUGUGAGCUAAUAAAUUCCCUUUUAGCCCAAA